GAGUGAACGCUGGCGGUAGGCCUAACCCAUGCAAGUCGAACGGCAGCACAGUAAGAGCUUGCUCUUACGGGUGGCGAGUGGCGGACGGGUGAGGAAUACAUCGGAAUCUACUUUUUCGUGGGGGAUAACGUAGGGAAACUUACGCUAAUACCGCAUACGACCUACGGGUGAAAGCAGGGGAUCUUCGGACCUUGCGCGAUUGAAUGAGCCGAUGUCGGAUUAGCUAGUUGGCGGGGUAAAGGCCCACCAAGGCGACGAUCCGUAGCUGGUCUGAGAGGAUGAUCAGCCACACUGGAACUGAGACACGGUCCAGACUCCUACGGGAGGCAGCAGUGGGGAAUAUUGGACAAUGGGCGCAAGCCUGAUCCAGCCAUACCGCGUGGGUGAAGAAGGCCUUCGGGUUGUAAAGCCCUUUUGUUGGGAAAGAAAAGCAGCAGGUUAAUACCCCGCUGUCCUGACGGUACCCAAAGAAUAAGCACCGGCUAACUUCGUG
rnacentral:rRNA from 1 species